rnacentral:tRNA from 1 species
GGGGACAUCGUAUAGCUUGGUUAGUACAUUUCUGUUGCAUAGAAAUAACGCGAGUUCGAGUCUCGCUGUCUCCA